rnacentral:rRNA from 1 species
CUAGUAAUCGCGAAUCGGAAUGUCGCGGUGAAUACGUUCCCGGGCCUUGUACACACCGCCCGUCACACCAUGAGAGUCGAUAACACCCGAAGCCUGUGAGCUAACGAAAGAGGCAGCAGUCGAAGGUAGAAUCAAUGAUUGGGGUGAAGUCGUAACAAGGUAAC